AUCAACUUUCGAUGGUAGGAUAGAGGCCUACCAUGGUGGUAACGGGUAACGGGGUGUUAGGGCACGACACCGGAGAGGGAGCCUGAGAAACGGCUACCACAUCCAAGGAUGGCAGCAGGCGCGCAAAUUACCCAAUCCCGACACGGGGAGGUAGUGACAAUAAAUAACAAUACGGGGUCCUUUCGGGUUUCGUAAUUGGAAUGAGUACAAUUUAAAUCUCUUAACGAGGAACAAUUGGAGGGCAAGUCUGGUGCCAGCAGCCGCGGUAAUUCCAGCUCCAAUAGCGUAUAUUAAAGUUGUUGCAGUUAAAAAGCUCGUAGUUGAAUUUCGGGAUUAGUACGUUGGUCGUGCCUUCGGUACGUACUGGUGUUACUGAUUCCUACCUUCUGACGAACCAUCAUGUCAUUAAUUUGGUGUGGUGGGAAAUCAGGACUGUUACUUUGAAAAAAUUAGAGUGUUUAAAGCAGGCUCGCGCUUGAAUACAUUAGCAUGGAAUAAUGAAAUAGGACGUUGACCCUAUUUUGUUGGUUUCUAGGAUUGACGUAAUGAUUAAUAGGGAUAGUUGGGGGCAUUAGUAUUCAAUUGUCAGAGGUGAAAUUCUUGGAUUUAUUGAAGACUAACUACUGCGAAAGCAUUUGCCAAGGAUGUUUUCAUUAAUCAAGAACGAAAGUUAGGGGAUCGAAGACGAUCAGAUACCGUCGUAGUCUUAACCAUAAACUAUGCCGACUAGGGAUCGGAUGAUGUUAUUUUUAAUGACUCAUUCGGCGCCUUACGGGAAACCAAAGUGUUUGGGUUC
rnacentral:rRNA from 1 species